GAGGGUUUGAUUCUGGCUCAGAUUGAACGCUGGCGGGAUGUCUUUACACAUGCAAGUCGAACGGCAACACGGACUUCGGUCUGGUGGCGAGUGGCGAACGGGUGAGUAAUGUAUCGGAACGUGCCUAGUAGCGGGGGAUAACUACGCGAAAGCGCUCGCUAAUACCACAUACGCCCUUCGAGGCGGGGACACUUCGGGCCUCGCACUAUUAGAGCGGCCGAUAUCGGAUUAAAGCUAGUUGGUGGGGUAACGGCUCACCAAGGCGACGAUCCGUAGCUGGUUUGAGAGGACGACCAGCCACACUGGGACUGGGAAUACGUGGCCAGACUCCUACAGGAGGCAGCAGUGGGGAAUUUUGGACAAUGGGGGAAACCCUGAUCCAGCCAUCGCAUUGUGCGAUGAAGGCCUUCGGGUUGUAAAGCACUUUUGGCAGGAAAGAAACGGCACGGGAUAUGCCCGUGCAACUGACGGUACCUGCAGAAUAAGCACCGGCUAACUACGUGCCAGCAGCCGCGGUAAUACGUAGGGUGCAAGCGUUAAUCGGAGGUACUGGGCGUAAAGCGUGCGCGAGCGGUUCGGAAAGAAGAUGUGAAAUCCCAGAGCUUAACUUUGGAACUGCAUUUUUAACUACCGAGCUAGAGUGUGUCAGAGGGAGGUGGAAUUCCGCGUGUAGCAGUGAAAUGCGUAGAUAUGCGGAGGAACACCGAUGGCGAAGGCAGCCUCCUGGGAUAACACUGACGCUCAUGCACGAAAGCAUUAAGGAACAAACGGGAUUAGAUACCCUGUCAUUGAUCCACUUCCUAAACGAUGUCGCUAGCUGUUGGGGCCUUCGGGCCUUGGUAGCGCAACUAACGCGUGAAGUUGACCGCCUGGGAGAUACCGGUCGCAAGAUUAAAACUCAAAAGGAAUUGACGGGGACCCGCACAAGCGGUGGAUGAUGUGGAUUAAUUCGAUGCAACGCGAAAAAGCCUUACCUACCCUUGACAUGUCUGGAAUCCCGAAGAGAUUUGGAGUGCUCGCAGAGAACCAGACGCUUACAGGUGCUGCAUGGCUGUCGUCAGCUCGUGUCGUGAGAUGUUGGGUUAAGUCCGCAACGAGCGCAACCCUUGUCAUUAGUUGCUACGAAAGGGCACUCUAAUGGGCCUGCCA
rnacentral:misc_RNA from 1 species